CUUUUAUUAAGUUGGGCCUUUGAUUAUUUUAAAUCAUGGGCUGCCCAAGUAUUUAUUUAAUUGGAUUUGUGCAGAUUUUAUUUAAAGGAGCUACACUAUUAUAAUUAAUUAGACUUAUUAAGUUUAAUUAAUUAUUUUCAAAGAGUAAAUUUUUAUAAUAAUAUUAAAUUAUUAUUAUAAGCAUAUUUUAAGUAAUUUCUUAUUAUAUGCCAAGCAUGACAUGAAUUUGCAUGACAUGAAUUUGCAUUAUAUUUUUGCAAUAAAAGUAUUUAAGAUUUAAUUGGUUUUAUUUAUAAUUCCAAUUAUUAAAAGAUGAGUAAGAAUAUUGUUGGUGUUCUUAACUCAAGAGAAAAUGUUUUCAAUUAUUUAUUCAUUAAAUUUUGAAAACCCGGCUAAGUGAAUCAUAGAAUAUUAAGCACUACACCAUGACUUAAGAUUAGAUUCAAGGAGACCUAUUAAGAAUAGAUUUCUUGUAGGCUUUGAGCAUCAGGAGGAUUAGCACUGCUAUUCCGAUUCAGAGAUAAGGUUAAACGACAGGCUUUGCCUAUACAGGUUGGCUGGCUGGUGCUGACGGGACGGAGCUGAGGCUAGCGAUAAAUUCCUAUGUUAGACUUCCGCUGUAGCAAUUACUCAUAUCAGUCUUUUGUUUUCCCAACUUAAGUUCUUCAUGUUAAAUUUCAAAUGAUAUACCUGACCGAGCUUAGACUCUUCACUACUAAAUUUAUGCCAAUGAAUGUCGGUUGUCAGAAGCAUGAAACAAAACUUGUGAUCCAAAGGGGCAUAGCCCGACUUUC